rnacentral:rRNA from 1 species
AGUGAACGCUGGCGGUAGGCCUAACACAUGCAAGUCGAACGGCAGCACAGUAAGAGCUUGCUCUUACGGGUGGCGAGUGGCGGACGGGUGAGGAAUACAUCGGAAUCUACUUUUUCGUGGGGGAUAACGUAGGGAAACUUACGCUAAUACCGCAUACGACCUACGGGUGAAAGCAGGGGAUCUUCGGACCUUGCGCGAUUGAAUGAGCCGAUGUCGGAUUAGCUAGUUGGCGGGGUAAAGGCCCACCAAGGCGACGAUCCGUAGCUGGUCUGAGAGGAUGAUCAGCCACACUGGAACUGAGACACGGUCCAGACUCCUACGGGAGGCAGCAGUGGGGAAUAUUGGACAGUGGGCGCAAGCCUGAACCAGCCAUACCGCGUGGGUGAAGAAGGCCUUCGGGUUGUAAAGCCCUUUUGUUGGGAAAGAAAAGCAGCAGGUUAAUACCCCGCUGUUCUGACGGUACCCAAAGAAUAAGCACCGGCUAACUUCGU